rnacentral:antisense_RNA from 1 species
ACACAUAGCAUAAGAAUCACCCCUGGAAAAACUACAUAGCUUACCAAAAGAGGUCUCUCUGUUCACUGUCCAUUAUCUGUUGACUGAACUAGUUCAAAUGAAUAACAACCAUACAAACACAUAUAUACACAAAUAUACAUAUGCUUCAAUGAAAAGCAGGCAUGCAGCUGACAGCUCGGCAACCCUGAGCACAGAAUUUUGAAGAGAGAAUACACUAAAAGGGAAGAACAUAACUACAUGACAUCAUAAGAAGUUCUGAAUUAGAAGCAUAUAUUUGAAAGGUCAUGCAUCCUGAGCUGCCAACGGCUUAACAACCAGAGGCGGAGGCCAGCUUUGCCAGCUCACUGCUUCUACUCAUCUUUCAUGAUAGUAGCCAGGCUGAAAAUAGUUCCAGGAUGAUAAUAAAUUGGCUGGGCAUGCUAUUUAUAUUAGUUUGUAUGUUCCUGUACUAAACCAAGCAUCAUGAGGCCAGCACUAUUUUGCCAUUUUUCAGAAAGAAAAUAUGAACCCUUCAAAACAUAGUAAGCCUUUUUUAAAGUAUAUAUUUGAUUUUGAAAUAAUCAAAAUAUAUGUAGGGAGAUGACUGCAUCCUAAGAUUUAUGAUAAGUUCUGAUGAGUAAUAUUUUCUUUCUACAUGCAAGGCAAAGUUAAUAGUAACCAGAAAGUCUUUAUUUGGCAUAUCAUAGAUUUCUGUCAACCAAAACAACUAACUCGGGGGAACACAACAUUCUGACAACUUCAGAAGAGUUAAGUCACAGACAAAAGUUUAUUGGAUCUUAGUUGGCUCC